UGGGGAAUUUUGCGCAAUGGGCGAAAGCCUGACGCAGCGACGCCGCGUGGGUGACGAAGGCCCUCGGGUUGUAAAGCCCUGUGGGGAGGGAAGAAUAAGGGGCGGCUAACAUCCGCACCGAUGACGGUACCUCCUUAGCAAGCACCGGCUAACUCUGUGCCAGCAGCCGCGGUAAGACAGAGGGUGCAAACGUUGUUCGGAAUUACUGGGCGUAAAGCGCGUGUAGGCGGCUACGCAAGUCGGAUGUGAAAGCCCUUGGCUCAACUGAGGAAGUGCAUUCGAAACUGCGUAGCUCGAGUCCCGGAGAGGAUAGUGGAAUUCUCGGUGUAGAGGUGAAAUUCGUAGAUAUCGAGAGGAACACCAGUGGCGAAGGCGGCUAUCUGGACGGUGACUGACGCUGAGACGCGAAAGCAUGGGGAGCAAACAGG
rnacentral:rRNA from 1 species